rnacentral:rRNA from 1 species
UACGUAGGGGGCAAGCGUUGUCCGGAAUCAUUGGGCGUAAAGAGCGUGUAGGCGGCCCGAUAAGCCCGCCGUGAAAGUCCAGGGCUCAACCCUGGAAUGCCGGUGGAAACUGUCGGGCUGGAGUCCGGAAGAGGCGAGUGGAAUUCCUGGUGUAGCGGUGAAAUGCGCAGAUAUCAGGAGGAACACCAAUGGCGAAGGCAGCUCGCUGGGACGGUACUGACGCUGAGACGCGAAAGCGUGGGGAGCAAACAGG